UUGAUCCUGGCUCAGAGCGAACGUUUGCGGCGGGCUUAACACAUGCAAGUCGAACGAGAAUCCCUUCGGGGAGGAAAGUGGCGCACGGGUGCGUAACACGUGGAUGACCUACCCCUUGGUUCGGGACAACAGCGGGAAACUGCUGCUAAUACCGGAUGUGUCGUAGCAAUACGAGAAAGGCCCGCAAGGGUCGCCAGGGGACGGGUCCGCGUCCCAUCAGCUAGUUGGUGAGGUAAUGGCUCACCAAGGCGAAGACGGGUAGCUGGUCUGAGAGGAUGAUCAGCCACACUGGAACUGAGACACGGUCCAGACUCCUACGGGAGGCAGCAGUGGGGAAUAUUGCGCAAUGGGCGAAAGCCUGACGCAGCCACGCCGCGUGAGCGAUGAAGGUCUUCGGAUCGUAAAGCUCUGUGGGGGGAGAAGAAGAAAGUCGGUGAAGAGCCGGCCCUGACGGUAUCCCCUUAGCAAGCACCGGCUAACUCCGUGCCAGCAGCCGCGGUAAUACGGA
rnacentral:rRNA from 1 species